AUUGAACGCUGGCGGCAUGCUUUACACAUGCAAGUCGAACGGUAACAGGUUAAGCUGACGAGUGGCGAACGGGUGAGUAAUGCAUCGGAACGUGCCCGAUCGUGGGGGAUAACGCAGCGAAAGCUGCGCUAAUACCGCAUACGAUCUGAGGAUGAAAGCGGGGGACCGUAAGGCCUCGCGCGAUCGGAGCGGCCGAUGUCAGAUUAGGUAGUUGGUGGGGUAAAGGCCCACCAAGCCGACGAUCUGUAGCUGGUCUGAGAGGACGACCAGCCACACUGGGACUGAGACACGGCCCAGACUCCUACGGGAGGCAGCAGUGGGGAAUUUUGGACAAUGGGCGAAAGCCUGAUCCAGCAAUGCCGCGUGCAGGAAGAAGGCCUUCGGGUUGUAAACUGCUUUUGUACGGAGCGAAAAGGUCCUUUCUAAUACAAGGGGCUCAUGACGGUACCGUAAGAAUAAGCACCGGCUAACUACGUGCCAGCAGCCGCCGCAGUAA
rnacentral:rRNA from 1 species